CCUACGGGCGGCUGCAGUGGGGAAUAUUGCACAAUGGGCGCAAGCCUGAUGCAGCCAUGCCGCGUGUGUGAAGAAGGCCUUCGGGUUGUAAAGCACUUUCAGCGGGGAGGAAGGCGUUAAGGUUAAUAACCUUGGCGAUUGACGUUACCCGCAGAAGAAGCACCGGCUAACUCCGUGCCAGCAGCCGCGGUAAUACGGAGGGUGCAAGCGUUAAUCGGAAUUACUGGGCGUAAAGCGCACGCAGGCGGUCUGUCAAGUCGGAUGUGAAAUCCCCGGGCUAACCUGGGGAACUGCAUUCGAACCGGGAGGCCUAGAGUUUGUUAGAGGGGGGUGUAUUUCAGGUGUAGCGGUGAAAUGCGUAGAGAUCUGGAGGAAUACCGGUGGCGAAGGCGGCCCCCUGGACAAAGACUGACGCUCAGGUGCGAAAGCGUGGGGAGCAAACAGGAUUAGAUACCCCUGUAGUC
rnacentral:rRNA from 1 species